rnacentral:tRNA from 1 species
CACUCAAUGGUUCAGUGGUAAAGCAUUCGCUGCAGAGAGAGAGGGUCCUGAGUUCGAAUCCCGAUGGAGUCG